GAGAGAGAGAGGGAGGAGAGGAUGAUGAGCCGCUGGUAGUCCCUGCUGCUCCUGCUGCUGCUGCUGCUGCUCCAUCCUCCAUCCCUCCGUUCUCCUCCGAGCAACGGGCUGUGGAAUAAGCGUCAAACGCCGAGGACGCGCCGCAUCCAGAGCGCACAGAUUGAAGCUUUUCGUUUCGCCGACCUCUUCUACAUAAAGCAAUGGAACCCCAUUUCCUGAUGAGACUGUGGUGAGUAGAGAGGAUGCACCAGCUCACUCAUCAUGUCAUUUUUACAUUUCGACGCUGGAUUAGCCGUGAAGCGCUUGGGCUGACAGA
rnacentral:lncRNA from 1 species